GGGAUUGAAGCGCAGCUACCAUGCAGUCGAGCGGUAACAGAUCCAGCUUGCUGGAUGCUGACGAGCGGCGGACGGGUGAGUAAUGCAUAGGAAUCUGCCCGAUAGUGGGGGAUAACCUGGGGAAACCCAGGCUAAUACCGCAUACGUCCUACGGGAGAAAGGGGGCUUCGGCUCCCGCUAUCGGAUGAGCCUAUGUCGGAUUAGCUAGUUGGUGAGGUAACGGCUCACCAAGGCCACGAUCCGUAGCUGGUCUGAGAGGAUGAUCAGCCACAUCGGGACUGAGACACGGCCCGAACUCCUACGGGAGGCAGCAGUGGGGAAUAUUGGACAAUGGGGGGAACCCUGAUCCAGCCAUGCCGCGUGUGUGAAGAAGGCCCUCGGGUUGUAAAGCACUUUCAGCGAGGAAGAACGCCUAGCGGUUAAUACCCGCUAGGAAAGACAUCACUCGCAGAAGAAGCACCGGCUAACUCCGUGCCAGCAGCCGCGGUAAUACGGAGGGUGCAAGCGUUAAUCGGAAUUACUGGGCGUAAAGCGCGCGUAGGUGGCUUGAUAAGCCGGUUGUGAAAGCCCCGGGCUCAACCUGGGAACGGCAUCCGGAACUGUCAAGCUAGAGUGCAGGAGAGGAAGGUAGAAUUCCCGGUGUAGCGGUGAAAUGCGUAGAGAUCGGGAGGAAUACCAGUGGCGAAGGCGGCCUUCUGGACUGACACUGACACUGAGGUGCGAAAGCGUGGGUAGCAAACAGGAUUAGAUACCCUGGUAGUCCACGCCGUAAACGAUGUCGACCAGCCGUUGGGUGCCUAGCGCACUUUGUGGCGAAGUUAACGCGAUAAGUCGACCGCCUGGGGAGUACGGCCGCAAGGUUAAAACUCAAAUGAAUUGACGGGGGCCCGCACAAGCGGUGGAGCAUGUGGUUUAAUUCGAUGCAACGCGAAGACCCUUACCUACUCUUGACAUCCUGCGAAUUCGGUAGAGAUACCUUAGUGCCUUCGGGACGCAGAGACAGGUGCUGCAUGCUGUCGUCAGCUCGUGUGUGAAAUGUGGGUUAGUCCC
rnacentral:rRNA from 1 species